rnacentral:antisense_RNA from 32 species
GUCAAUGGUAGCUCAGGCGGGGCAGCCUCCGGGCUGGCCGGUUUCCGAUAACGCCGGUAUUCUCACCCCCGUCUGGGCUAUCGCCAUC